rnacentral:tRNA from 1 species
UCCCUGGUGGCUCAAAUGGUAAAGCAUCUGCCUGCAAUGCAGGAAAUCCAGUUUCGAUCUCUGGGGCGGGAA